rnacentral:rRNA from 1 species
GCCUAAUACAUGCAAGUCGAGCGGAGAUUUGAAAAGCUUGCUUUUCAAACAUUAGCGGCGGACGGGUGAGUAACACGUGGGCAACCUGCCCUUGAGACGGGGAUAACUCCGGGAAACCGGAGCUAAUACCGGAUAACACAUAUCUUCGCAUGAUGAUAUGUUAGAAGGUGGCUUUUAGCUACCACUCAAGGAUGGGCCCGCGGCGCAUUAGCUAGUUGGUGAGGUAACGGCUCACCAAGGCGACGAUGCGUAGCCGACCUGAGAGGGUGAUCGGCCACACUGGGACUGAGACACGGCCCAAACUCCUACGGGAGGCAGCAGUAGGGAAUCUUCCGCAAUGGACGAAAGUCUGACGGAGCAACGCCGCGUGAGUGAUGAAGGUUUUCGGAUCGUAAAGCUCUGUUGUUAGGGAAGAACAAGUACCUGUUGAAUAAGCAGGUACCUUGACGGUACCUAACCAAAAAGCCACGGCUAACUACUUGCCAACACCCGCGGUAAUACGUAGGUGGCAAGCGUUGUCCG